UGCAAGCCCAGAAGAGCCGCAGUGAAUAGGCCCAAGCGACUGUUUAUCAAAAACACAGGUCUCUGCUAAACCGUAAGGGGAUGUAUAGGGGCUGACGCCUGCCUGGUGCUGGAAGGUUAAGAGGAGUAGUUAGCUUCAGCGAAGCUACGAAUCGAAGCCCCAGUAAACGGCGGCCGUAACUAUAACGGUCCUAAGGUAGCGAAAUU
rnacentral:rRNA from 1 species